UACGUAGGGGGCAGGCGUUGUCCGGAUUUAUUGGGCGUAAAGAGCGUGUAGGCGGCCAUACAGGUCAGCUGUGAAAACUCGAGGCUCAACCUCGAGACGUCGGUUGAAACCGUAUGGCUAGAGUCCGGAAGAGGAGAGUGGAAUUCCCGGUGUAGCGGUGAAAUGCGCAGAUAUCGGGAAGAACACCCGUGGCGAAGGCGGCUCUCUGGGACGGUACUGACGCUGAGACGGCGAAAGCGUGGGGAGCGAACGAGGA
rnacentral:rRNA from 1 species